ACGGAAGGCAGCAGUGGGGAAUAUUGGACAAUGGGGGAAACCCUGAUCCAGCGACGCCGCGUGAGUGAAGAAGUAUUUCGGUAUGUAAAGCUCUAUCAGCAAGGAAGAAAAUGACGGUACUUGACUAAGAAGCUCCGGCUAAAUACGUGCCAGCAGCCGCGGUAAUACGUAUGGAGCAAGCGUUAUCCGGAUUUACUGGGUGUAAAGGGAGCGUAGGCGGCAAAGCAAGUCUGAAGUGAAAUCCCGGGGCUCAACCCCGGAACUGCUUUGGAAACUGUUUAGCUAGAGUGCAGGAGAGGUAAGCGGAAUUCCUAGUGUAGCGGUGAAAUGCGCAGAUAUUAGGAGGAACACCAGUGGCGAAGGCGGCUUACUGGACUGUAACUGACGUUGAGGCUCGAAAGCGUGGGGAGCAAACAGGAUUAGAUACCCUGGUA
rnacentral:rRNA from 1 species